AGAUGUGUGUGCACAUGGACUGCUCCGGAUGCGAGAGCAAAGUAAGGAAGACCCUUCUUAAGUUAGAAGGAGUGGAUGAUGGGGACAUUGACAUGGUGCAGCAAAAGGUGACGGUCACAGGCCAGGUAUGUGGCCCAGAAGAAGGUGCUGAAGGCGGUGAGGAAGACGGGCGGUGAUGUGGCCCUAUUUCUACAACGUGGAGUACCAAAACUACACCCAGUAGUACUACCACCGGCUCCACCCCACCCCAGCCCACCACCUAAUCUUCAACGCCGCCCCACACUCCUACAACUACUAUAAGCAUGGGUAUAGCGAUUCCGACAUGCAUGGCUACUACCAGAUGCCGACCUACUCUCACAUCGUCGACGACAGGGCCCGGUCUCUUUUCAGUGAUGAGAACCCAAACGCCUGCUCCAUUAUGUGAAGAUAUAUUGUGAAAAAAAAUGUGUACCUAUAAAUACUGUAAUUAGCUGGAGGACUGGGCCGUUUGCCUAGUCUUUUUGGUUUUUGGGUUUCCGUAGUAAAGGGUGUACGUAGAGAAGUGAGUUUUGGGGGGUUCUAUAUUUUCAUAGAAGGGAUCACCAUGUUUUUAAUAUGAUGAAAAUGAAUAGUUAGAUAAUCUGAUCACUGGCUGGUGAUUCGGAAUUAUUUCGUAUGUAAGAAAAUUUUUUGGUUGAGUUGUACAUAUGCAGUGCAUGAAUGAAAGGAUAUAUAUAUAUA